CUUUAUCAUGGACUUCUGACCAGGUAACUUGUGCAUAUCAUUCAUGACGUUACCACUGUCUCCAGAUAGUAAUACCAUCACGGAAGUCUUAUCUGUUUUCAUCAUUUGAGUGCAGAAGCGAACUAAACAUUUUUUUCCAUUAUUUUAGAAUUCUAUACUCAAUCAUUUCUGGAUCGGAGCUGUCGGCUAUUAUUUUCUUGAUUCAGGUUUGUGAUUCGUUGCCCCUUUUCUGAAGGACAUUAAUAUCAGUUCAGUGAGGGUAGACAAGAUAACCUAGUAAAAUGAAGAAAUAUCAGUGCAGAAUUCCCUUGGUUUUUUUUUGGGAGCAUAUCCUGUAGUAUUCCAGUUCUGUAAGAAACCUUUUAUUCCGUGCAGAGCUCCAGUUCCAUGGUUAGUCAAAUUCUGGAUGAUACCGGUUUCAACGGUGUGCGGACAUGAGCAAGGCCGGCUGCCGGCUCUCUCAGAUGGUCAAUGUCGGCCAGACCUGUGAUGUGUUGCUAGCGAGCGUGCCACGUGUGAAUGUGUUAGAGUAACUGCAUCCUUGAGAGCCCUUGAUACCAUCUGACAAUAUAUCCAAGCAAAGGUUCUUCUUCUUUUUUUGGAAAGCUUGCAGGAACCAAGCAAGGUUCUGAAAGUCCAGCCUUCUAUCACAUCUCAUCUGAAAAGGGCAUGCUCUAAUAAAAGCAGCCCGCCCGUGCGUUUAACGAUCAUCAAACUUUGCCUGGUGCUUUUCUGAAUAUAUAAUAGUCAGAUAGUGUGUUUCGG
rnacentral:lncRNA from 1 species